GAUGAACGCUGGCGGCGUGCCUAAUACAUGCAAGUCGAGCGAACGGACGAGAAGCUUGCUUUUCUGAUGUUAGCGGCGGACGGGUGAGUAACACGUGGAUAACCUACCUAUAAGACUGGGAUAACUUCGGGAAACCGGAGCUAAUACCGGAUAAUAUUUUGAACAGCAUGGUUCAAAAGUGAAAGACGGUCUUGCUGUCACUUAUAGAUGGAUCCGCGCUGCAUUAGCUAGUUGGUAAGGUAACGGCUUACCAAGGCAACGAUGCAUAGCCGACCUGAGAGGGAGAUCGGCCACACUGGAACUGAGACACGGUCCAGACUCCUACGGGAGGCAGCAGUAGGGAAUCUUCCGCGAUGGGCGAAAGCCUGACGGAGCAACGCCGCGUGAGUGAUGAAGGUCUUCGGAUCGUAAAACUCUGUUAUUAGGGAAGAACAUAUGUGUAAGUAACUGUGCACAUCUUGACGGUACCUAAUCAGAAAGCCACGGCUAACUACGUG
rnacentral:rRNA from 1 species